UACUGAGGGUGCAAGCGUUAUCCGGAUUCACUGGGUUUAAAGGGUGCGUAGGUGGGUUGGUAAGUCAGUGGUGAAAUCCCCGAGCUUAACUUGGGAACUGCCAUUGAUACUAUCAGUCUUGAAUACCGUGGAGGUCAGCGGAAUAUGUCAUGUAGCGGUGAAAUGCUUAGAUAUGACAUAGAACACCAAUUGCGAAGGCAGCUGGCUACACGAAUAUUGACACUGAGGCACGAAAGCGUGGGGAUCAAACAGG
rnacentral:rRNA from 1 species